CUCUCCCCCACUUCUUUCCCACUUUGGCAGAUGCUGAGGGUUGGAAAAGCAAAAGCAGAUGUGUGGCCCAAAACUGCUCCAAAGAAAGAUGAGAACAGCUUAGUUCCUCCUGCCCCUGUGGACAGCGACGGGGAGAGUGAUAAUUCAGACCGUGUUCCUGUGCCCAGUUUUCAGAAUUCCUUCAGCCAAGCUAUUGAAGCAGCCUUCAUGAAACUGGACACACCAGCUACUUCAGACCUCCUCUCUGAAGAGAAAGGAGGAAAGAAAAGAAAAAAACAGAAACAGAAGCUCCUGUUCAGCACCUCAGUCGUCCACACCAAGUGACACUACUCGCCCGGGCUACCUUCUCCAUCUGGUUUUUGUUUUUGGUUUUUUUUCCCCCAUGCUUUUGUUUGGCUGCUGUAAUUUUUAAGUAUUUGAGUUUGAACAGAUUAGCUCUGGGGGGAGGGGGUUUCCACAAUGUGAGGGGGAACCAAGAAAAUUUUAAAUACAGUGUAUUUUCCAGCUUCCUGUCUUUACACCAAAAUAAAGUAUUG
rnacentral:sRNA from 1 species